CCUACGGGUGGCAGCAGUGGGGGAUAUUGCACAAUGGGGGAAACCCUGAUGCAGCGACGCCGCGUGGGUGAAGAAGUAUUUAGGUAUGUAAAGCCCUAUCAGCAGGGGAGAAAGAAGACGGUCCCUGACUAAGAAGCCCCGGCUACCUACGUGCCAGCCGCCGCGGUCAUACGUAGGGUGCGAGCGUUAACCGGAUUACCGGGGUGUAAAGGGAUCGUAGAUGGCCGUGCAAGGCAGGUGUGAAAGGCCGGGGCACAACCCCGGGACUGCCGUUGUACCUGUGGGGCUGGAGUGCGGGAGGGGCAGGCGGAAUUCGUGGUGUAGCGGUGAAAUGCGUAGAGAUCAGGAGGAACACCGGCGGCGAAGGCAGCCUGCUGGACCGCGACUGACGUUGAGGCUCGAAAGCGUGGGGAGCGAACAGGAUUAGAUACCCGAGUAGUC
rnacentral:rRNA from 1 species